rnacentral:rRNA from 1 species
AGGACGAACGCUGGCGGCGUGCUUAACACAUGCAAGUCGAGCGGUAAGGCCUUUCGGGGUACACGAGCGGCGAACGGGUGAGUAACACGUGGGUGAUCUGCCCUGCACUCUGGGAUAAGCCUGGGAAACUGGGUCUAAUACCGGAUAUGACCUGCUCUCGCAUGGGGGUGGGUGGAAAGAUUUAUCGGUGCAGGAUGGGCCCGCGGCCUAUCAGCUUGUUGGUGGGGUAAUGGCCUACCAAGGCGACGACGGGUAGCCGACCUGAGAGGGUGACCGGCCACACUGGGACUGAGACACGGCCCAGACUCCUACGGGAGGCAGCAGUGGGGAAUAUUGCACAAUGGGCGAAAGCCUGAUGCAGCGACGCCGCGUGAGGAUGAAGGCCUUCGGGUUGUAAAGCACUUUAAGUUGGAGGAAGGUUGUAACGUUAAUACGUUGCAACUUUGGCGUUACCGACAGAAUAAGCACCGGCUAACUUCGUAGUCCAGCAGCCGCGGUAAUCGUGAGCGG